rnacentral:sRNA from 2 species
CCGUACCGGAUGCCAGGUCGACGACGUGGACCGGCGGGAGCGGAGGACCCGAGCAGGACGGGGUCCGGGGCCGCACGGCCGUGGGACUCCUCGGGGUGAAGCCGUACGCAUGGCCGGGCAUCUUCGCCUGCCCGAACCCGACAGGUCUCCCUUCGCAGGCGGCUGACGAAGGGUUC